rnacentral:tRNA from 2 species
GGAGAAGUGGCCGAGUGGUCGAAGGCGCAGCACUGGAAAUGCUGUGUAGGGCAACUUACCGUGGGUUCGAAUCCCACCUUCUCCG